rnacentral:misc_RNA from 1 species
GAUGAAGAACGUAGCGAAAUGCGAUAAGUAAUGUGAAUUGCAGAAUUCAGUGAAUCAUCGAAUCUUUGAACGCACAUUGCGCCCCCUGGUAUUCCGGGGGGCAUGCCUGUUCGAGCGUCAUUUCACCACUCAAGCCUCGCUUGGUAUUGGGCAACGCGGUCCGCCGCGUGCCUCAAAUCGACCGGCUGGGUCUUCUGUCCCCUAAGCGUUGUGGAAACUAUUCGCUAAAGGGUGUUCGGGAGGCUACGCCGUAAAACAACCCCAUUUCUAAGGUUGACCUCGGAUCAGGUGGGGAUACCCGCUGAACUUAAGCAUAUCAAUAAGCGGAGGA